GCCGCAGGAUCCGCGGCGUCGAGGCUAGAUCUGACCCGGCGACCGUUGACGCAAGCGAGCCUGGGGGGAGGAGGGGCAGGGGCGUCGAUGGACCACGCACUGCCGACGGACCGCCGUGUAGAAGGGUGGGUGCGGCCAGGGCCGUCACCAUGGGGCUCGAGAGGGAACUGGCAGGCCACAACGGCCGGAUCUGUGGCCGGAGUGGCCAACAGCGCGGGGUUGGGAGGCUCGGCCGAAGAUGAGCCGUGGAAGGAUUAGCAGCGCUAGCUCGUCCCAAUCGCUCUAAAAUUCAACCUUCCCCAAGCAUGAGCUCCGCCAGUGAUAUUUCUGCUAUUGAUAAGCGAAAGGCUCAAGGAACUAAGGUUGGUGUCUCACUUCACGGCGUGUUACAGAGGGAAAAUAUCACUUUACAUGUACCAUUUUUUCUUUUACAUGUACCACUUGAUACAAGCAAACCAAACAAAUAAUACAAAAGCAUAGAUCAAGCGAUUCCCAUA